AAUCUAUGAUGAGGACAAAGUCUUAUCAUAUCUUUAUAUCUUUCCCAAGCGUCAAAAAGUGAUUCUCUUCGAUCUGUCUAAAUGCAGUUAUAUGAUUCCUCAGUAC